rnacentral:rRNA from 1 species
AACGAACGCUGGCGGCAGGCCUAACACAUGCAAGUCGAGCGAGGACUUCGGUCCUAGCGGCGGACGGGUGAGUAACGCGUGGGAACGUGCCCUUUGCUUCGGAAUAGCCCUGGGAAACUGGGAGUAAUACCGGAUGAGCCCUUUGGGGGAAAGAUUUAUCGGCGAAGGAUCGGCCCGCGUUGGAUUAGGUAGUUGGUGGGGUAAUGGCCUACCAAGCCGACGAUCCAUAGCUGGUUUGAGAGGAUGAUCAGCCACACUGGGACUGAGACACGGCCCAGACUCCUACGGGAGGCAGGAGUGGGGAAUCUUAGACAAUGGGGGGAAUCAUGAUCUAGCCAUGCCGCGUGAGCGAUGAAGGCCUUAGGGUUGUAAAGCUCUUUCAGCUGGGAAGAUAAUGACGGUACCAGCAGAAGAAGCCCCGGCUAACUCCGUG